rnacentral:rRNA from 1 species
AAAACAAACAAAUCAAAACUUUCAACAACGGAUCUCUUGGCUCUGGCAUCGAUGAAGAACGCAGCGAAAUGCGAUAAGUAAUGUGAAUUGCAGAAUCCAGUGAAUCAUCGAAUCUUUGAACGCACAUUGCGCCCGCCAGCAUUCUGGCGGGCAUGCCUGUUCGAGCG